rnacentral:rRNA from 1 species
GACGAACGCUGGCGGCGUGCUUAACACAUGCAAGUCGAACGGAAAGGCCCUGCUUUUGUGGGGUGCUCGAGUGGCGAACGGGUGAGUAACACGUGAGUAACCUGCCCUUGACUUUGGGAUAACUUCAGGAAACUGGGGCUAAUACCGGAUAGGAGCUCCUGCUGCAUGGUGGGGGUUGGAAAGUUUCGGCGGUUGGGGAUGGACUCGCGGCUUAUCAGCUUGUUGGUGGGGUAGUGGCUUACCAAGGCUUUGACGGGUAGCCGGCCUGGGAGGGGGGCCGGCCACAUUGGGACUGAGAUACGGCCCAGACUCCUACGGGAGGCAACGGUGGGGAAUAUUGCACAAUGGGCGGAAGCCUGAUGCAGCAACGCCGCGUGCGGGAUGACGGCCUUCGGGUUGUAAACCGCUUUCGCCUGGGACGAAGCGUGAGUGACGGUAAUGAGUAAAGAAGCACCGGCUAACUACGUG